rnacentral:rRNA from 1 species
AUUGAACGCUGGCGGCAGGCCUAACACAUGCAAGUCGAACGAGUGGCGGACGGGUGUGUAAUGUCUGGGAAACUGCCUGAUGGAGGGGGAUAACUACUGGAAACGGUAGCUAAUACCGCAUACCAUCGGAUGUGCCUAGAUGGGAUUAGCUAGUAGGUGGGGUAAAGGUUCACCUACGCGACGAUCCCUAGCUGGUCUGAGAGGAUGAUCGGCCACACUGGACCUGAGAACCGGUCCAUACUCCUCCGGGGGGCAGCAGUGGGGAAUAUUGCACAAUGGGCGCAAGCCUGAUGCAGACAUGCCGCGUGGAUGAAGAGGGCCUUGGGGUUGUAAAGUACUUUCAUCGGGGAGGCGUUACCCGCAGAAGAAGCGCCGGCUAACUCCGUGCCAGCCGCCGCGGUAAUUC